AGAAGAUCUGCUCCCAGGAGCCUUUCUUCACCUCAGGCAUUUCAUUUCUACUUCAGAUAUCUUACAAAUUAAAGAGAUGGGGUUUGAGCUUUACUUAGUGACACUGCAUCUGCUUAGCAAAACUAAGGCUCUCAGUUCAUUCCACAGGACUGGAAACAAAAGGUUUCAGAUGAAGAAAGUGACACAUCAUGAUUGCAUUUGAAUCCAAACUCAUAAACUUCUUAAGUGCUGGAACAAAUAUGAAAAUCAGAUUCAGACCUCUCUAUGCAGUCUUGGCUGUC
rnacentral:lncRNA from 1 species